GGGGAUUUAGCUCAGUGGUAGAGUGCUUGCCUAGUAAGCACAAGGCCCUGAGUUCAGUCCCCA
rnacentral:tRNA from 1 species